UAAAUGUCUGGGAAACUGCCUGAUGGAGGGGGAUAACUACUGGAAACGGUAGCUAAUACCGCAUAAUGUCGCAAGACCAAAGUGGGGGACCUUCGGGCCUCAUGCCAUCAGAUGUGCCCAGAUGGGAUUAGCUAGUAGGUGGGGUAACGGCUCACCUAGGCGACGAUCCCUAGCUGGUCUGAGAGGAUGACCAGCCACACUGGAACUGAGACACGGUCCAG
rnacentral:rRNA from 1 species